GCCCCCAUAGCUCAAUUGGUAGAGCAGCUGGCUCUUAACCAGAAGGCUGGAGGUUCAAAUCCUCCUGGGGGCA
rnacentral:tRNA from 1 species